AUGACCAUGAAAUUAGAGUUUCUAAAAUGUUCAUUUCACUUUAAAAAGAGGGGUGCUCUUUCCAUCCUUAGUCACCACACCUUUAGAAACCCUAAAAUGUUCCUAGCAUCCCAAGAUGAUCUCCGGAUGCACUUCCAUAAACAUGCCUUAUCACUUGUAAGAAAAGUCAUUUCAAUGAAUUUCUUUCUCCUUUCUGAAUUCCCUCUUUAG